GUGCCAGCCGCCGCGGUAAUACCGGUAUCUCAAGUGAUGGCCACUCUUAUUGGGCCUAAAGCGUCCGUAGCUGGCCGCGCAAGUCCGUCGGGAAAUCCAUCAGCCCAACUGAUGGGCGUCCGGCGGAAACUGCACGGCUUGGGACCGGAAGACUCGAGAGGUACGUCCGGGGUAGGAGUGAAAUCCCGUAAUCCCGAACGGACCACCGAUGGCGAAAGCACUUCGAGAAAACGGAUCCGACAGUGAGGGACGAAAGCCAGGGUCUCCAACCGGAUUAGAAACCCCAGUAGUCC
rnacentral:rRNA from 1 species